ensembl:lncRNA novel transcript
GACGGUUUAGACGCAGCAGCAAUGAUUUUAAGAGUUGCCGUGUUAAACGGUGAUAGCCUGUGACGGUGCUGUGUGCGGAAACAUCCGAUUUUAUUGCCGCUGGGUGGACAGCGCCGUCUAGACGCCGCUCACCCUUCUCACCUUCGCAGUUGUCUGUGUGGAAGACGGGAGAGGCAGGGGCACCACGCCACUGUCCCCAAGACCGGCCCCCAGGCACUGCGCGGAAGAGGCCGUGGCCUGUGAGGUGGCCCUUCCCUGCCCUGGACAGGCUGUGGAGGGGCUGCAGGCGGAGGCUGGGCUUGGGAGUGCUUGAAGGAUCACUGGGCUGUGGAGGGGCCCGCAGGCCGCCUGGGGACCUGGGGAGGGAAGCUCCGGGCCUUUCUCUGGCUCUGCAGACGCACGGCCUGGGUUCAAAUGCCAGCUCCACCACUUCCUGGCUGUGUGGCCUUGGACAUGUGUCUUACCCUCUCUGAGCCUUAAAUUUCCUUCUCUGGAAAAUCAAUGCUUCAUCAAAUAAAAAGUGAUCAUGAA